GCAUGAGCAUUUUGAGUAUGCAGAACACAUCAGCUCAGCCUGAAGCCGGCAGUUAGUGCGCGCACCACACACACACACACACACACACACACACACACACACACACAGGCGCUUUCCCUUCAAGUGAGGCUUAGCAACUGCAGUCCCAGCCUCUUAGGCUGAGGUACCAGCAGCCACAUCCUGAUUUGUUGGUGGAGCGCGGGAGUCCAGUUUCAGAGACACCGGGUAAGACGCAGCUGUCACAGCUAGUGGCAGACAGCCACUUCUUUCCAGCUGCUUCCCCAGCCCUGGCAAGAGGGCACCCUCUUCCAAAAGCCAGUCUGCCAGGGAGGAGGUUAUUCCGUGCUCAAGCAUCAAUAUUACUCAGAGAUGAGAGCUAAGAUGUAAACUGACUGAUCACCCCAGGUAGCCAUCUCACAACAUCAAUCUAUUGAUUUUCCCUGCACGGCGGGAAGAAGAAAGAACAGUAUCAGAUAACUCAGCAUUUUCAGUGGACUGGUUGACUGGAAUGGAAAGACUAGGCUGAAUGUGUGUUGGGAUUGAACCCAGGGCCUUGUAUAUGCCAGGAAAUUCCUCCAUCUCUGAGAUACAUCCACAGUUACUAAAAUUCUUCUUCUUUUAAUGGGAUGUCAGUGUGUGUUGUGCCCAGGAUAAACAGUGUUGCUGCUCAGAAGACACCUUGAGCUCACUGCUCGUCUUGAGCAUUGAUGGACAUAUCUAAUUAAG